rnacentral:lncRNA from 1 species
GCUCUUCCUCCUGCUCCUGCCCUGGUAAGAAGUGCUGCUUCCCCUUUGCUUUCUGCCAUGAUUGUACGUUUCCUGAGGCCUUCCCAGCCAUGCUUCCUGUGUGGCCUGUGGAACGGUGAGUCAAUUAAACCUCUUUUCAUUAUAAAUUACCCAGUCUCAGGUAGUUCUUUAUAGCAGUGUGAGAACUGACUCAUUUCAGCUGGUGUAUUAGUUUUCUAUGGCUGCUGUAGCAAAAUACCACAGACAGGGGAGCGUAAACAACAGAAACGUAUUCUUUCAAGGUGUCAGCAGGCCUGGUUUCUUCUGAGGCUUCUCUGCUUGGCUUGCAGAUGGCUGCCUUCUCAAUGUGUCCUCACGUGGUCUUUCCUCUGUGUGCACACAUCCCUGGUAUCUCUCUUUGUGUCCAAAUUUCCUUUUCUUAUAAGGACACCAGUCAGAUUGUGUUAGGGCUAACCCUCAUGGUUUCAUUUUAAAUUAAUUACCUCUUUAAAGGCCCUGUCUCCAAAUACAGUCGCAUUCUGAGGUACUGGGCGUUAGGGCUUCAAUAUAGGAAUUUGGGGGUUGGGGAAGACACAAUUCAGCCCAUAACAACUGGUUAGCCAAGAGGAACUAGUUUUGGAAGGAGCAUAUGACUUUCUUUUCUUCCUUUUCUUCACCCCCACCAUCCAGAGCCUUGAUUGGGCACUUCUAGCUAAUACCUCUGGAAGUUGUAUUAACAAUAAAGUAUCUCUAAGAUAAGGUUUUCCAAAUAGCUUCAUAUUUCCUAGAGUACUUGCUAAAAUGCAGAUUCUUGGGCUACCUGAAAUGCUAUAAAUGGGAAGCUCUUAGGGUUGUAGCCUAGGAGCCUGUAUGUUCCCAAUAAUUACUUCUCCAGGUAAUUCUAAAGAACACUAAACUGGAGUUGCGUCACUAUCAGUUGGAGAUGAUUGACUUGACAAAACUAAUGAUUGGUCACUACUUUUUAAAUAUGCUGACAUGCUUUUUGAAUAAAAGUUGCAGAGAAAGAGCAGGCUG